AAAAAAAAGAAGAUUAAAUUACUUAAGUGUUCAUCAGCCUGAUUAGGAGCCUACUGAUUCACCUCAGACUUUACUUUGAUCAGUUAAAAUACCUCUUCUUAUGUAGGGGUCUCAGAACCACUGGUCCACAACUAUGAGUCAGUGACUACCAUAUGGGGCCCUGCCACAGUGACAAUAAAUUGGCCGCCAGAUGGGCUGUGCAGGGGAGAGAAGCUUUGGUGGCAGCGGCAGCAACAACCUUCCCAGAGGCACACCAGCUCUGCGCAUCUGGCCAUUGAUCAGGAUAGCUUGGGUCUGAUAGGUUUCACCAGUGUUAGCUGAGCUAACCUCACCAUUGAAAACCACUGGGCACAGCCUUCGGAGCUCAUACCAGCCACCUCAGCAAGAGACUGUGAGCAGAGCUACUCUAGAUGCUAAGCGAGAGAACAGUCAGGAAUAAUCGCGCAUUAGCCAGUGCGUGGUUAACAUCUAGAUACAAAAUGGCUGCCACACACCCUCCAGUUGGGUAAUAAAAACUAAAACGCACGACUGAGGUAAGCGGCCCCACCUCCUUCACUGUAAAGUGCUUUGAGAACCUUAAAAGCCACUACAUGAGUGCAGUACCAACAUCAGUGGAGAAGUAAAUCUGUUUUGUGACAAAA